UAGCGUGUCAAAAAACAACCCAUUUUCAGCUGUGUCCUCAUUAUCGUAGCAUGACGCACUAGUUCGUAUUAGGCAUACCACUUAAAAUCCCAAGGAUUGUGCCAUAUUGCAAACUACAGUGGUCUAACAUGCCAACAGAAGUUUGCAGAUAGUUUUUCUCUAGUUUCCUUUGCCUGCUGAGAUCAUGUUAAGAUUAGCACAGAGCAGAGAGCUUUUUGUAUUGAACAUUUCCUCACCUCCAACUAAUUUCGUAAGUUUCACACAAUGUACAGAAAUAAUGUUAAAGUACCCUUAAGACCUCCUUUGAUGUCAUGGGUGGAAAUGGUCCAUCUGUUAGGACCUGUAGAGACACAGAACUAAAAAUACCCUGACAAAACGACCAUUUCAGGUCAAACACACACCGUUCCCACCCCACGUCACCAGGGUGCAGAAUUCAGUAGAUGGGCCCCAUGAGAUGUCUGCCAGUAGACGAUGUCUGCAGCAAUGACCUUCCUACAUCUCAACGGUCUGCAUUCUCAAGGCUGGUCUUCAUCUAUGACUGUACCUUUUUCCCGUUCGCGAAGAUCGUCUUGAAAAGCAUCAUUUCCUGUUGGAAAUACGAAGAUCUAACCAGGAGAUUGGACAUUGAAAAGGACAAACAGAGUUCCUGCACGAUACGGGAGUUCUAAAUUUGGCUGCUUUUCAACGAAUUUGGAUGGAUUCCGAGGGAUAAGGACAGCAGAAUUAUCUUCAUGUGACAGUUUGCUUUUCUUCAAGUCUAAAAUUAUAUCAGCAAGACAUGAAAAACA